GAUGAACGCUGGCGGCGUGCCUAAUACAUGCAAGUCGAGCGAACGGACGAGAAGCUUGCUUCUCUGAUGUUAGCGGCGGACGGGUGAGUAACACGUGGAUAACCUACCUAUAAGACUGGGAUAACUUCGGGAAACCGGAGCUAAUACCGGAUAAUAUUUUGAACCGCAUGGUUCAAAAGUGAAAGACGGUCUUGCUGUCACUUAUAGAUGGAUCCGCGCUGCAUUAGCUAGUUGGUAAGGUAACGGCUUACCAAGGCAACGAUGCAUAGACGACCUGAGAGGGUGAUCGGCCACACUGGAACGGAGCCACGGUCCAGACUCCUACGGGAGGCAGCAGUAGGGAAUCUUACGCAAUGGGCGAAAGCCUGACGGAGCAACGCCGCGUGAGUGAUGAAGGUCUUCGGAUCGUAAAACUCUGUUAUUAGGGAAGAACAUAUGUGUAAGUAACUGUGCACAUCUUGACGGUACCUAAUCAGAAAGCCACGGCUAACUACGUG
rnacentral:rRNA from 1 species